rnacentral:rRNA from 1 species
UAGUGCUAAGAAGAAUGAUUGAACAAUUAUAGGCUUUCUUUAGUUAAAUAAUUAAAUUUAAUUUUUUUAGUGCAAAAGCAAAAAUUAAAUUUAGGGACAAGAAGACCCUAUGAAUUUUAAUUUAAUUUAUAAUUUGAAAUUUUAAAUUAAAUUUGAUUGGGGCGAUGGAAAAAGAAUGAGUAUCUUUUUUAGUUUUAAAAAUUGGUUCCGUUUUUAACGAUUAAAUGAGAAAAAUACUCUAGGGAUAACAGCGUAAUAAUUUAA